rnacentral:rRNA from 1 species
UUUAAGGUCUAAUCUGCCCUAUGAGGAAUUAAAUGGCCGCGGUACUUUGACCGUGCAAAGGUAGCAUAAUAAUUAGUUUUUUAAUUGAAAGCUGGAAUGAAUGAUUGGACGAGAAAAUAACUGUUUCAAUUUAAAUUUUUUUAGAAUUUUAUUUUUAAGUUAAAAAGCUUAGAUUUUAUUAAAAGACGAGAAGACCCUAUAGAGUUUUAUAUUUGAUAAAUUAUUAAUUUUUAAGUUUAUUUUUAUUAAUAUUUAAUUAGAUAUUUUAUUGGGGCGAUAGAGAAAUAUUAUUAACUUUUUUUAGUUUAAAGUCAUUAAUUUAUGAUUGAUUGAUCCAUUAUUUAUGAUUAUAAGAAUAAGUUACCUUAGGGAUAACAGCGUAAUUUUUCUUUAGAGUUCUUAUCGAAAGAAGGGAUUGCGACCUCGAUGUUGGAUUAAAGUUAAUGUUUGGUGUAGGAGCUAAAUAAUUAGGUCUGUUCGACCUUUGAAACUUUACA